rnacentral:rRNA from 1 species
GACAGAGGGUGCAAACGUUGUUCGGAAUUACUGGGCGUAAAGCGCGUGUAGGCGGCUCGGCAAGUCAGGUGUGAAAGCCCUGGGCUCAACCUAGGAAGUGCACUUGAAACUGCCAGGCUGGAGAUCUGGAGAGGAAGGCGGAAUUCUCGGUGUAGAGGUGAAAUUCGUAGAUAUCGAGAGGAACACCGGUGGCGAAGGCGGCCUUCUGGACAGCAUCUGACGCUGAGACGCGAAAGCUAGGGGAGCAAACAGG